GCGGAUGUAGUUUAAUGGUAGAAUUUCUGCCUUCCAAGCAGAGGGUGCGGGUUCGAUUCCCGCCAUCCGCA
rnacentral:tRNA from 1 species